rnacentral:rRNA from 1 species
GAUGAACGCUGGCGGCGUGCCUAAUACAUGCAAGUCGAGCGAACGGACGAGAAGCUUGCUUCUCUGAUGUUAGCGGCGGACGGGUGAGUAACACGUGGAUAACCUACCUAUAAGACUGGGAUAACUUCGGGAAACCGGAGCUAAUACCGGAUAAUAUUUUGAACCGCAUGGUUCAAAAGUGAAAGACGGUCUUGCUGUCACUUAUAGAUGGAUCCGCGCUGCAUUAGCUAGUUGGUAAGGUAACGGCUUACCAAGGCAACGAUGCAUAGCCGACCUGAGAGGGUGAUCGGCCACACUGGAACUGAGACACGGUCCAGACUCCUACGGGAGGCAGCAGUAGGGAAUCUUCCGCAAUGGGCGAAAGCCUGACGGAGCAACGCCGCGUGAGUGAUGAAGGUCUUCGGAUCGUAAAACUCUGUUAUAGGGGAGAACAUAUGUGUAAGUAACUGUGCACAUCUUGACGGUACCUAAUCAGAAGGCCACGGCUAACUACGUG